GUUCAGUCUUCAGCCGUAUUUCAAGGCGCUGUACUAAGUCAGAAAUAUGACAGUUGUUUUCCAUUCGUUUGCUGUGUUUAAGCUUUCAAUUUUGCUUUGCCAUUUGAUAAGGAACUUUCCGUUUUGAAUUUUCCUUGGAGUUUGGCAUUUUUGUUAUUUCACUAUUCACUGUAGAUGUAAAAUUCUUGAUUGUACAAUACCAGUGCAUGAUCUUUCAACACUUCUUUUAGUCACUAAUAUACACAUGUUCCAAAUGAAUGAUAAAAGUAGUAGAAACAAAAAAGAUUUGAAGCAUAAAAAAACGGAAAACAAAAGUUCAAAAGGAUGGAAUUUUAUCAUUUCGGGCACAUCGUAUCAUUUUGGUGAACUAAAACUUUUUCAUGGUGUCUCCCAACAAAAUUGAUAUGUCACUUAAUCACAAGUUAAUAGUGAGUUCAAUGCAAGGCAAAUAAUCGGCAGUUCAUGUUUAAAAGAAAAGAAAAGUAGAAUCGACCUACCUAGAAUAUGGUGCCUAGUGGUCGAAUUUUAGCAUAAUCAGCAUGCCUGGUUCAAUUGGUGGAGCAUAGUAAAUUCUUCCUGGUACCCACGUCUAUCUGUUUUUGGUGAGGUUCGUGAUCCUCUGUGUGCAUUUUUCUGUGCAAUAGUGUAGAUAAAUAAAGGUAAUAGUAGUUUACCGCUGUAGAUCGAUGCUUAUUUUGUGUGUGUGUUCAUAGUGUCAUCCGGUACUUACUAGUAUGGACGGUUUCUGAGAGGUGAUUUUUUUAUGAUUAGAAGACAGAUUGAAAGACCAAUGCAAAUAUGACUUAAAUUAGGUGACGUCAAUGAGACAAAGACGACAUAAUAACAACAAAAAAAUCACCUUCAAUAUAACGCAGGUGUCU
rnacentral:lncRNA from 1 species